GAUGAACGCUGGCGGCGUGCUUAACACAUGCAAGUCGAACGGUGAAGCUCCAGCUUGCUGGAGUGGAUCAGUGGCGAACAGGUGAGUAACACGUGAGCAACCUGCCCCUGACUCUGGGAUAACAGCCGGAAACGGCUGCUAAUACCGGAUAUGCACCAUGAACGCAUGUUCUGUGGUGGGAAAGAUUUUUCGGUUGGGGAUGGGCUCGCGGCCUAUCAGCUUGUUGGUGAGGUAAUGGCUCACCAAGGCGUCGACGGGUAGCCGGCCUGAGAGGGUGACCGGCCACACUGGGACUGAGACACGGCCCAGACUCCUACGGGAGGCAGCAGUGGGGAAUAUUGCACAAUGGGCGAAAGCCUGAUGCAGCAACGCCGCGUGAGGGAUGACGGCCUUCGGGUUGUAAACCUCUUUUAGCAGGGAAGAAGCGAGAGUGACGGUACCUGCAGAAAAAGCGCCGGCUAACUACGUG
rnacentral:rRNA from 1 species